rnacentral:rRNA from 1 species
UACGAACUGUGCAAACGUUUAUUCGGAAUCACUGGGCUUACAGGGUGCGUAGGCGGCCUGUUAAGUAGGGUGUGAAAGCCCCCGGCUCAACCGGGGAAUGGCGCCCUAAACUGGCGGGCUGGAGUGAGAUAGGGGUGUGCGGAACUUCCGGUGGAGCGGUGAAAUGUGUUGAUAUCGGAAGGAACGCCGGUGGCGAAAGCGGCACACUGGAUCUCAACUGACGCUGAGGCACGAAAGCCAGGGGAGCAAACGGGG